rnacentral:rRNA from 1 species
UAUGAGUAGCGACAAACAGAGUGAGAAACUCUGUCGCCGAAAGCCCAAGGGUUCCUGCGCAAGGUUAAUCCGCGCAGGGUGAGCCGGCCCCUAAGACGAGGGCGACAGCCGUAGUCGAUGGGAAUCAGGUUAAUAUUCCUGAGCCUGCUGGAUGUGACGAAGGCCGUAUAUUGUUCCCGCUUAUUGGAUUGCGGGGGCCGUGAAGGACUUCCUGGAAAUAACUCCAGCUUAUAGACCGUACCCCAAACCGACACAGGUGGGCUGGUAGAGUAUACCAAGGCGCUUGAGAGAAUGAUGUUGAAGGAACUCGGCAAAUUGCCCUCGUAACUUCGGAAGAAGAGGGCCCCAUCGAUGGGCAACCAUUGGUGGGGGGCACAGACCAGGGGGUGGCGACUGUUUAACAAAUACACAGGGCUCUGCGAAGUCUGUAAGACGACGUAUAGGGUCUGACGCCUGCCCGGUGCCGGAAGGUUAAGAGGAGGGGUGCAAGCUCUGAAUUGAAGCCCCGGUAAACGGCGGCCGUAACAAUAACGGUCCUAAGGUAGCGAAAUUCCUUGUCGGGUAAGUUCCGACCUGCACGAAUGGCGUAACGACUUCCCCGCUGUCUCCAACAUCAACUCAGCGAAAUUGAAUUCCCCGUGAAGAUGCGGGGUACCCGCGGUUAGACGGAAAGACCCCAUGCACCUUUGCUAUAGCUUUGCAGUGGUAUUAGGGAAUGAAUGUGUAGGAUAGGUGGGAGCCUAUGAAGCGUCGGCGCUAGUCGGUGUGGAGGCAACCUUGAAAUACCACCUUUUUGUUCUCUGAUAUCUAACCGCGCCCCAUGAAGCUGGGGCCGGGACCCUGCAUGGUGGGUAGUUUGACUGGGGCGGUCGCCUCCCAAAGAGUAACGGAGGCGCGCGAUGGUAGGCUCAAGCUGGUCGGAAAUCAGCUGUUGAGUGCAAUGGCAUAAGCCUGCCUGACUGCGAGACUGACAAGUCGAGCAGAGACGAAAGUCGGUCAUAGUGAUCCGGUGGUUCCACGUGGACGGGCCAUCGCUCAACGGAUAAAAGGUACGCUGGGGAUAACAGGCUGAUCUCCCCCAAGAGUCCAUAUCGACGGGGAGGUUUGGCACCUCGAUGUCGGCUCAUCACAUCCUGGGGCUGGAGCAGGUCCCAAGGGUAUGGCUGUUCGCCAUUUAAAGUGGUACGUGAGCUGGGUUCAGAACGUCGUGAGACAGUUCGGUCCCUAUCUGCCGUGGGUGUUGGAGUAUUGAGAGGAUUUGCCCCUAGUACGAGAGGACCGGGGUGAACGCACCUCUGGUGUACCGGUUGUCGCGCCAGCGGCAUCGCCGGGUAGCUAUGUGCGGACGGGAUAACCGCUGAAAGCAUCUAAGCGGGAAACCCACCUCAAAACUAGUACUCCCA